rnacentral:rRNA from 1 species
UACGUAGGGCGCAAGCGUUGUCCGGAAUUAUUGGGCGUAAAGAGCUCGUAGGCGGUUUGUCGCGUCUGCUGUGAAAGCCCGGGGCUCAACCCCGGGUCUGCAGUGGGUACGGGCAGACUAGAGUGCAGUAGGGGAGACUGGAAUUCCUGGUGUAGCGGUGAAAUGCGCAGAUAUCAGGAGGAACACCGGUGGCGAAGGCGGGACUCUGGGCCGAUACUGACGCUGAGGAGCGAAAGCGUGGGGAGCAAACAGG